CAGUUAUACAGAAAAUGCAUGAGCUGGGACGUUGGCUGGAUGGACCCACUUCCGAUCAAAACAAUCGGUGAUUGGAUAUUUACACAUGUCACCGCCUACCAGAAGUCCAAAGUGGCCUGCAUGACUGGCGUCUGACCAAGAAAAAUCCUGGAUGUCGAUCUCUAAUUCAUUCCCUGAGUGAUAAUCGGAGAGAAGCGGAGAGAAAAUCUGAGAGAAAACUGUUGUUUUGGUAUAUUUCAUGUUCAUAUGGAUAUUA